GAAAAUAGCAUCCUACUAGCUUCAACUGCCAUGUCCACUUUUUCGCCUAUAAAAAGGCAUCAAACCAAAGCAAAGGGGGAGGACACAAAAAGAAGAAGAGAGACUCUGCAGAAAUUAAGAGAAAAAUUGAGAGAAAAGAUAGCAACGAAGGGGAGUGACAAUUAAACCUUGCAGAAAUUGAAGCUCACAGAGAAGAACGAAAAAAAAAAAAAAGAGGAGACACCGCAGAAAUCAAAAGAGAAAUUGAGAGACAAAAAGAACGAUGCAGAAUGACGGUGAGGAACGAACCACAAAGAAGAACAAAGAAAGCAAGAAAACGAAAGGCACAAGGGGUGCACACGACAAAGAACAGCAAAGUACCCAAAGGCAAGGAGCAACUGAUGCCUUGCGCAGUUUUAGCUCAUGCAGAUGGAGACUUUAAGCUGUUGGAGCGGUUGAUGCCUUGUGCAGUUUUAGCUCGUGCGGGCGAGGACUUUGGGUCAUUGGAGCAUUUAAAUUUGAUUUGGCUUCAUGCAAUUUGAAAUUUGAUACGCCUUCGUGCCAGUUGACAUAUCUUUGUGCCAUUUGAGAUUUUGUUGAGGCUUCAUACCAUUUGAUAUUUGACUUUUUCUUCGGCUUCGUGCCAUUGGGUUUUGUUGCGGCUUUGUGCCAUCAAAAUUUAAUACGGCUUCGAGCCAUUGAAUCGGCUUUGAGCCAUUUGAGUCAGCUUGGUCCCAUUUAAAGUGGUUUUGUGCCGUUUAAGCGUAAAGUAAAAUUAAAGGGUUUAUUUCUGAUAAACCCACUAAUAUUUUGGCAUUUGACUUUGGCUUGGUAUCA